AAUCAGUUCCCGGACCUUGUACACACCGCCCGUCACACUAUAGGAGCUGGCCAUGUUUGAAGUCAUUACCCUUAACCGUAUGGAGGGGGAUGCCUAAGGCUAGGCUUGCGACUGGAGUGAAGUCAACGUGAAGAUCGGA